rnacentral:lncRNA from 1 species
CCUGCACAGAGCACUAAGGUACAUUGUGGAAGCAAGCAAGCAUGGAAGGAAAGAAGGAGUGGUCCUUUUU